rnacentral:rRNA from 1 species
AUUAAUUUAAUGGCUGCAGUAUUUUAACUGUACAAAGGUAGCAUAAUAAUUAGUUCCUUAAUUAGGGACUGGAAUGAAGGAUUGAACGAGAUAAAAAUUGUCUCUUUUUAAAUUUUAUAAUUUUAUUUUUAAGUUAAAAAGCUUAAAUAAUAUUAAAAGACGAGAAGACCCUAUAGAGUUUUAUAAUUAUAAUAUAUAUAAAUUUUAGAAAUAAAAUUUUUUAUAUAUAAUAAUUAUUUGAUUGGGGUGAUUUUAAAAUUUAGAAAACUUUUAUAUAUUUAACAUUUAUAUAUGAUUAAUUGAUCCAUAAUUUAUGAUUAAAAGAUUAAAUUACCUUAGGGAUAACAGCGUAAUUUUUUUAAAGAGUUCUAAUCGAAAAAAAAGAUUGCGACCUCGAUGUUGGAUUAAAAUAAAUUUUUGGUGUAGAAGCUAAAAUAUUAGGUCUGUUCGACCUUUAAAAUUUU